UACGAAGGGGGCUAGCGUUGCUCGGAAUCACUGGGCGUAAAGGGUGCGUAGGCGGGUCUUUUAAGUCAGGGGUGAAAUCCUGGAGCUCAACUCCAGAACUGCCUUUGAUACUGAGGAUCUUGAGUUCGGGAGAGGUGAGUGGAACUGCGAGUGUAGAGGUGAAAUUCGUAGAUAUUCGCAAGAACACCAGUGGCGAAGGCGGCUCACUGGCCCGAUACUGACGCUGAGGCACGAAAAGCGUGGGGGAGCAAACAGGGA
rnacentral:rRNA from 1 species